UUGAGAUGGUGGUACGCAGGGGCGGACCCACGUUGACAUGAGGGGGUUCAACUGAACCCCCUGAAAAAAAAAAUUCCUACUUACCCCUUAGAGUAAUUUUUUUUUGAACCCCCUGAAAUUUGAAAAUUGCACCCAGGUCCCAGUCAAGGAGUCAACACUCAGUCACUCAUUCCUCACUCCUCUCUCUCUCUCUUCCUCACGCACUCACUCCUCUCUCUCUCUCUCUUCCUCACGCACUCACUCUCUCAUCUCACGGUCUCAACUCUCCUUCACUCAUGAAUCACGGCAGCCACAGCCCACGCCCACCAACGCCACCAGUCCACCACCACCGCCCACCGGCAGCCGCCCAACGCACCACCACUCUCUCUCUCUGCUGCUGUUGAAGACUUGAAGCUUGAAGCCUUGUUGUUAUUCUGGCUGGAGAAAGAUUGAGGAUUGCAGUCUGCAGAGGAAGGGUGCGUUUUUUUUGGGCCAUUAUUGCAGUGCCUAUGCUAUGACAGUUUUCAUGUGGGUGGCUUUUGAAGGGUCUUGCACUCUUUGUACCUAUUUUUGUUUUCUUAUUUGAAGAAGUAGGCAGAGAGCAGAGGUGUUGGCACGCAACUUUCCAUAUUUUACAAGUAAAUGCUAAAAGUAAUAGGUGCCUCUUUCUUCUUUCUUUAA